GCGGCGGUAAUUCAGCGGUAGAAUGCUUCCUUGCCAAGGAAGAUGUCGGGGGUUCAACUCCCCUCCGCCGCU
rnacentral:tRNA from 1 species